AUGUUGUGGUGGAGGACGGAGGUCCGCCAUCUUGUCUGCAGGUUGGACUUGCGGAUAUUGGGACUGAGGAAGAAAGGCAGAAAAGCACAAGAGAACAAAAGCGCUCAGGUUGUGUUAUGGACACAGUCAAAAUUCCCAGUGUGUCCAACCAGUCUGCUGGUGUUACCAUGUCGGUGUCAUAGCUGCAGGCAUGUAUCUGUAAUCACUUUUUAAACAAAUAUAGUUUAACCAGUUUAAUGUUGACAACAAAAUGUUUAAAUUCCGUUACAUGAGCUCGCUUGGGCACCAGAGGAUGACAGCAUGGCCUUCACCCAGCAGCCCCCUGUGGUUUAUCCUGACCUGCACCACCACUAACCAUUAUGCACCCGUCUAUAAUCAAGGGUGGAGGACAGCUGCAGAGCACCUCCCUCACCAGCUGGGCCCAGUUCGGCUGUCCCCUGUGCCCCAAGUUCAGCACAGCACAGGGAGAGACACUACGGAGACACCUGGGGGCCCACGUACAGAAUGCAGUGCAUCUUCAAGACACUAUCAUUUGCAGAUGCAACCUGUCGUGCAGAGACACGGGUCAUUACCACUGUCCAAACUGCACAAAAACAAUUGUGCGCAAAAGAGAUAUCACGUCACACGUGACUGGAUGUCAGAGACCAUGUGAUAAAGUACCACCGCCAUGUGAAACACCCUCCACUCAGUCAGCUGACCUCAGCCAAUCUGCACCUUCAUCAUCAUCAAUGGUCUUCACCUCCUUUGCUUCCCAUGAGAAGUCAGCACACGCUCCAGGAUGCACAUCUUCAAAACCUGACUCAGAGCCUCACUCUCCCCUAUCUGCUCCAGAGGAUUCAAUCACAAAUGAAGACCACUGCUACACACUUUGUCCCAAAGCUUCUGUUGCACCACAGUCGUCUCCGCCACCCUCAGCCUCACCCCCAAAGGACUCUGAGUUGGAUUUAUCACCCAGGGAAGAAGUCAGUGCUGCCGCUGCUGCUGCAGGCUCUGAAGCAACAGAGCUGACAUGUUUUCGUGUGGCAAAUUUGAAAUCAGUGAAGUGUCCUCACUGCUCCAUCGUUCUUUACAAAAAAAAUCUGUCAGUACACAUGCAAAGGAAGCAUGCAACGCUCAAAGACAUCACAGGUUCAUCUCACCUGGAAUAUGUUGAUAGGAAUUGUAGCACAGGGACACCGGUAACAAGCAGAGGUCACCUGAGCCGGGGAGAGUCUGUUGUUAUCAUCUUAUUAAAAAAAAUAAACAAAUGACUGAAUAAAUAA